CGCCACAAGUGCUGUCCAACGUGCUUCCAGAGGCGUGGAACACAAAGGCGGCUUCAGGGUGGAGAUGAGCAGAUGUAUUCCCACUAAUGAGCAGAACGUCUGGGUUCGUCUUGGAAACAUAAAUCUCCUGGGUGUGUGGUUGCUAUGGACGUGGUCUCAAUUAAAUCACACUGAGCAGGAAGGAGGAGCCUGUUCACGGCAGAGAGCAGAAGCUCACCUGAACACUUCACACUGAGAGACGCUGACCGCCUUUACACCAGGAGAACCCAGCAUGCUGCGCCUGGUUACCGUCUGCUUGUUGCUGCUCCCAGGCCUGGGCUGGGCCCAGAGCUCCCAGCAGGGGGUCAGCGCCCCCGGGCCCCAUGGGGCCUCCGGCCCGCCGCACACCCAGGACCCGUCACACUUCCUGAGGAACCAGCAGUCUGGUCACCUGACCGCCGAGACUUCCUCCCUGGAGCAGGGCUCCAACAGAGUUGGUCUGUUCGUGGUGGCGGCCGUCGGGACGAUGGCGCUGAUGGUGGCCGUGUUCUGCAUCUACAACAGGUUCUACAGCAGGCAGCAGUACCAGCACGCCCAGCUCCAGGACCACUCUGAGUUGACCCUUGACCCCCCAGAGAACCCCCCCAUGAUGUUUCUCCAGGGCCCGUUGGGGGAUGGGCGAGAGAGGCCGGGGGGAUACGGCUCGCUCUCCGCCACGCCCUCCGUCAUCUCCCUCCCCCACCCUUCCC
ensembl:lncRNA